AUUGAACGCUGGCGGCACGCUAACACAUGCAAGUCGAGCGGUAACAUGGGUAGUAGCAAUACUAUCUGAUGACGAGCGGCGGACGGGUGAGUAACACGUAGGAACUUGCCCAGUAGAGGGGGACAACCAAGGGAAACUUUGGCUAAUACCGCAUAUACUCGAGAGAGGAAAGCUGCCGCAAGGUGGCGCUACUGGAGAGGCCUGCGUCCGAUUAGCUAGUUGGUGAGGUAAUAGUUUACCAAGGCGAGGAUCGGUAACUGGUCUGAGAGGACAACCAAUCACAAUGGGACUGAGACACGGCCCAGACUCCUACGGGAGGCAGCAGUGGGGAAUCUUGGACAAUGGGGGCAACACUGAUCCAGCGAUGCCGCGUGAGUGAAGAAGGCCUUCGGGUCGUAAAGCUCUUUAGGCUGGGAAGAAGGUUAGUAGUUUAAGAGAUAGCUAGCUUGACUGUACCAGCAGAAUAAGCACCGGCAAACUCUGUGCCAGCAGCCGCGGUAA
rnacentral:rRNA from 1 species